UACGAAGGGGGCGAGCGUUGUUCGGAUUUAUUGGGCGUAAAGAGCGUGUAGGCGGCUUGGAAGGUCAGCUGUGAAAACUCGAGGCUCAACCUCGAGACGUCGGUUGAAACCACCUGGCUAGAGUCCGGAAGAGGAGAGUGGAAUUCCCGGUGUAGCGGUGAAAUGCGCAGAUAUCGGGAAGAACACCCGUGGCGAAGGCGGCUCUCUGGGACGGUACUGACGCUGAGACGCGAAAGCGUGGGGAGCGAACAGG
rnacentral:rRNA from 1 species